rfam:Synergistales bacterium 53_16 MPI_scaffold_11387, whole genome shotgun sequence.
GCCGGCGUAGCUCAGCUGGCAGAGCAGCUGACUUGUAAUCAGCAGGUCGUCCGUUCGAAUCGGAUCGCCGGCU